AGCUGCCAGCAACCCAGUUCCAGGAGAGAAAAUAGCUUGACACCUCCUGCGGCCCAUGGAGUCCUCCCAUUGGGACAAGGACCCCCCAGGAGAGAGAAGCCCCCAGCAGAGUCAACACUGGAGGGCCAGAGACCAUGGUGCCCGGGGCUGUGGACCACGCCAGCCCACAGCCACUGCAAGCUCCAGACCAGUGCUGUGGAUAAUGCCAGCCCACGGCAGCCACAUGCCCCAGACCAACACGAGAAGAACGCAGGCUGACAACAUCUUCAUCUAUGCUCUCGCCACACUCAGUCAGUGUCCACUGGGGGCCUCGGGGGCACCUCCACCUGCCCAGGUCUGGGACCACCGUCCUCCAUGCGUAUCUACAGACCCUGUCCUCACCUGCAUCACAGCAAUGAUGGCGUCACAGCGUGGGUUCCGGUCACCAGUCGGCCUCCCCCACCAACGUGGACUCCUUACAAGCAGGGCCACCAACGUGGACACGAUCCCAUCAGGAACCACCUACUUUUGCAUCCCCAGCACUGUGCUCAGGUCCCAGGGAGGCCCCAGAAAACUGUGGAACAACCGAACUCGUGACUGAAUGAACAAGUAUGUUAAGUUGUUAAGUAGAAAAUAGCAGAAGACUUAGUAGAAUGUAUGAGUAACGUUACAAUUGUAUGAAAAUCAGUAUCCACGAGGAAGGUAUUAUGCAAAAAAGGCUUAACUUUGUUUCAGUGCCUUUCCAAUUAAAUGUUGUUAAGCAGUAUUUCCCCCAAAAGGUGCGUCUUUUAUAAAACAAGAACACAAGGCUCUGAGGCCAACUUUGAACAUUUAUUUGAGUGAAUUCACGUCCCCCGAAUUUUCCGUAUCCCAAAAUCUGGACUUUUGCUAAAUGGUGCCCUUAGCACAGAAGUCUCUCCAAGGAAGUGGCCUGAGCUGAGAGCGGGCCUGGCAUCGCCCGCCCAGAUCAUCAGUCAUCAGCAGCAGCAGCUGCGGCAUGACAGAGAUGGUGUGGGGUGAAACCAAUGGGUAAACUACAAAAGAAACCACCUGCUACCGCAAACGGCCUCGCUGUACUCAGGGAAUCGGUUCCAGGACCCCAUGGACACCAAAUUCAGGCACAUUCAAGCCCCACAAGUGGACCUGCCGAACCUGCAUGUACAGAGUCGGCCCUCCGACACACGUUUCACAUGGCAGGAACGCUGUAUUUUCUCCCUGAGUUUGGUUGAAAAAAUCCACAUAUAAGUUGACCCGCAAAGCUCAAGCUUGUGUGGUACGAGAGUCAACUGUAUGCAAUUGACACUGAUUCCUACCAACAAUAUCCAAAUCUUAGCAUGAACAGCACGAUAAACAGAAUGAGCAAAAUUCAAAAACUAAAGCAGCGUUUUUCCUGCAAGUGGGCGCACUGCGUAUCCCCUGCGGGAAAGACCACGCUGGCUGCUGACCAAACUCCACUGGCAUCUUCCUCCAUCCUGAGGGCAUCUUCCUCCAGCCCAACGGCAUCUUCCUCCAUCGACAGCAGCCUGGGCUCACCUCCCAGCCCGAGGCUGAGAACUGGGUUCCAGUCCCGGGGAGGGGCGGUGCACUGUUCACCCUCCCAGCUCUCCUCCGCCCCUUCCCUCAGGCUGGCCCAAGAACAGCCUGGACAAUCACCUGCUGGGGACACCGGGCUGCCCCUCCUCCGCCCACAGCCUCAGGCCACCUGUCUUAUCCGUGACCGAGACACGGAGCUGCAGUGGGAGGCGGAACAUGCUGGGAUCUACCCAUGGCCAGGCCGAGCUGCGCCAAUCACUCAAGCUUCACUUUGAUCACUUGCUCUACCAAAUAAAACAGAACAAAAUAA